AGCAGUGACCCUUAACAGGUUUUUCUCUUAUUAAAAGUUUCGUAGAACCUUUUAUUACCGUCUAGGUCAAUUUAAGUUUCAAUCCCCUUUCUCCCCCACCAAGUUCCUGAGCUCAGCAGUAGCUUAUACAGAUGACCUAAGUCUCCGUGGUCUCAUUACUCAGAUCAGUGCUAUCAUUUAAUAAAAACUAAGUAAAUUUUAAAGCUGAAAUACAAAUUACAUUCUAGAAAUUCGAUAUCUAAACCAUUAACCCACUAUUUUUGCUGUUAAGUGCUGCAAUAAUUAUUUUGCAUUUAGAACACUGAAGCAGUUUCACCAUUGUGUGGCUUUAGCUUUCAAGUCGGAGAGUAUAUUGUGGAAGCAGUUCUAUUCUUUUAAAGGACAGGGGCCUUCAAACUAGAAGAUGGGGUCUGCUAGCAGUCAAGCACAGAGCUUGGAGAAGACAACCACCAAGUCUCAGAUGGUCUGGAGCUACUCAGCAAUCUUCUCUACACUCAUAAGUACAUGAGUCCAUGCUACAAUUCAGGCAAGACCAGUUCCUGAUAAUUAUGGAAGUUACAUCUGCAAAAGACUAGUCCAUUCUACAUAAACCACAGAGAGACAAGAGCAUCUAAUCAAGACAUGCACCGGGAGGCAGACUUCCUGCAGACUUCCAGAUCUGAAAAUGAAACCUACUCCGCUGACAGCUUCAGGUACGGGAAGAAUCGGGGGAAAAAAAACGGAAGAAAAAGCCAGACGGACUUAAAGGGGCGGUAGAGAACUACUCAUUUUAAAGUAUCAA